CUUGUGAAAAAAAUACUUUCAAGUUUAAAGAAUGAUAAAGCACCUAAGCCAGAUAAUAUUUACCCAAGGGCUUUGAAAGAGGUUAAGAAUUGGGUACAUGAGCCACUUGCUGUUAUUUUUUCUAAGUCCUUGAAUAGUGGGCAGGUGCCAGAAGUUUGGAAGUUGGUUAAUAUUAGUCCUCUUUUCAAGAGAGGUAAUAAAAGUUGCC